ACACGACUACAUUAGAUACCCGGGUAGUCCCAGCCCUAAACGAUGCGCGUUAGGUGUAUCGGUGACCACGAGUCACCGAGGUGCCGAAGGGAAACCGUGAAACGUGCCGCCUGGGAAGUACGGUCGCAAGGCUGAAACUUAAGGAAUUGCCGGGGGGAGCACCACAACGGGUGGAGCCUGCGGUUUAAUUGGACUCAACGCCGGGAGGCUCACCGGAUAAGACAGCGGAAUGAUUGCCGGGCUGAAGACCCUGCAUGACCAGCUG
rnacentral:rRNA from 1 species